GCCUGUAUUGCUCGCAAGACAAAGCUUUUCACCGUGCCUCAGUACACAUGACAAUAAAUUCAAUUCAAUUUGGUUCAGCUAAUCACAUCAGCCCUAAGGGGAAGACCUUCAACUACUUUGGUUAGAAUGUGCUGUGUGUAAAUUGAAGCUGUUUUGAUGUACAACUCUUGCAGAUCAGAGGAGAAUUGAGAAACGUUAUCACUCAGAAGGGUGGUGGUAGUCUAGAAUUCACUGCCUGAAAGAGUGCUCUAGUUAGAAAUUCUCAUCACUGUGAUGUAAAUGUUGGAGGAUUUAGUGAGAGGUUGACCAGGAUGGAUGGUGGGGAGGGGGCUGAAUGGCUGAAAGUCAUGGUUCUGGAGUGGGGUUGGUCAGAGCCCUCCACUUUCUGAAGCAGAUGUCAGUGCACAAAGAGCUCCAUGCAGAGUCGGCAAGGAUGUGGUUGAGUGGAACAGUACCCGAAUCAACUGUCCAGCUCACUAACCCACAGUGCCGGAAAGGCAGAUCAAACUUCACUUAUUAGCAUAAUGCUGGCAGCUACACACAUUGGACCACAACACAGAGCUGCAAAGCAUCAAAAUGUGAUACAAGUCUGUGGAUUAAAAAUAACCUAUGCAUGCAGCCAGCUAGGACCGACCCAACAGGAGUGUGCCACAACCAUUCGUAUACAGAGGAACCUCGAUUAUCCAAACAAGGUCACAAGGUCCUGAUGCUUGACUCGACUGUUAUUGAUUAUCCGAACAAAAUAUUCCCCGCCCAUGCAAUUCGGAUAAUUGAGGUUCCGCAUGUCCCAAAAUGCUUUACAGACAAUAGACUCUUUAUUGUUUUGAUGUCAUUAUUCAAAGAGUUUCAGCUAAACAGUCUGCUAAUGUGCACAAUAGCUAUUCUCAUGACAGACAAAUUAUUUCAGUCAAUGUUUUUUUCCAUCCAGGUGCAGAAUGGGAUGUUGGUAAGUCUGGAUGUAGUCUCCAGUGGAAACAAAAUGCCUUGGACUGUAUAUCUUCACAUCCACUGAAAUAAUCUAUAAAACUACUCACUUGGCAGGUAGGCAGCUCAUCAUCACUACCUUCUCAAAGGUGACUGGGAAGGAGAACAAAACAAAAGAGGCCAGGACAAGGCAAUUUAGCCCUUUAGGCUUGCUCCAUCAUUCAACCAGAUCCUGAUGCAGCUUUUUUGCUUUUGUGGAAGAACUGAUGGCAAACUGCCUGACUGGUCAAAGGCUGCAAACAGGAGUAGCCAGUACUGUCCCGAUGCACCGAGUUAUCUCCUCAGCCACUUGCAGUUAGAUGGGUGGCACGGUGGCUCAGGGGCUGACCAACCACGAGGGUAUUUUCCGAAGUUUCUCUCCGCCAGCCCCCAGCUCUGUGACUCGGAAGCUCAUUCAUGCAGCAAGACGGAACAUUGGUCAGGAUACUGGGGAGAACUUCCUUGCUUUUCUUCAAGGUAGAGCUGUUGGAUCUUUAAUGUCACCUUUAAGGGAUAUUAGAUCAGUUUAAUGUUUUGUCCAAAACAAGACACCCCAAAAUUGCACUACUUCCUUUUCUACCUUUGAGCGUCAAUCUGGAAUGUACAGUCAAGACCCUAGUCAUGGGUGUGAACUCAGGAGCUCUGGGACUCCGUAAAGCAGGGGAGUUCCUGCUUUUGGGUUAUUUGAGCUGUGUCUGUGGACAUCAGCCUCUCUCAGAACAGAGAUGUCGAUUCUUGAAUACUGAAGCUCAACACACAGUGCCUCCAAAUCUGUUGGGGGAUCAGAGACCUGGCCAAGUGCCUGAAUGAUGCCAUCCCAUACCAUCACUCGGAAUGUAAGCAUGUUUGGAACCAAACAACUUUCGUUGUGAGAAAUAGGAAUAGACCCUAUAAGCCUGUUCCACCAUUCAAUAUUAUCAUGGCUGAUCAUCUAACUCAGCACCUGCUCCCACUUUCUCCCUAUUAACCCUUCUGCCCUAAGGUCUCUAUCUAAUUCCCGCAUGAAAACAUUCUGCGGCAGAGAAUCUCACUCUCUGGGUAAAGAAAUUUCUCCUCCUCUCAACCCUAAAUGGCCUACCCCUUAUCCUUACGCUGUGAUGCCUGAUUCUGGACUCCCUUGUCACCGGGAAGAUCCUGUCUGGUCCUGUUCGGGCUUUAUAGGUUUCUAUGAGAUCCUCCCUCAUUCUAAUCUCCCGUGAAUAUAAUCCUAACCAAUUGAGUCUCUUCAUGCAUGAAAAACACAAGAAUCAGGAGCAGGAGUAGGCCAUCUCCACCCAUUCAGUAAGAUGAUGGCUGGUCUGUUCAUGGCCUCAGCUCCACUUACCCACCCUCUCACCAUAACCCUUAAUACCUUCACUGUUCAAAACAUUAUCUAUCUCAGCUUUAAAAGCAUUUAAUAAGGAAGUCUCGGUCACUUCCCUAGGCAGGGAAUUCCACUGAUCCACAACCCUCUGGGUGAAGAAGUUCCUUUCAGUUCAGUCCUAAAGCUGCUCCCCCUAAUCUUGAGGCUAUGUCCACUUGUCCUAGUUUUACCCCGCAGUGGAAGCAUCCUCUCUACUUUCUUAUCUAUUUCCUUUAUAAUUUUAUAUGUUUCUAUAAGAUCCUCCCCCCUUAUUCUUCUGAAUUCCAAUGAAUAUAAUUCCAGUCUACACAGUCUCUCCUCAAAAGCCAACUCCGGAACCAACCCGUGAACUUCAUCUGCAGCUUUUCUAGUGCCAGUACAUCCUUUCUCAAGAAAGGAGACCAAAACUGCAUGCAACGUAACCUC